rnacentral:rRNA from 1 species
GACGAACGCUGGCGGCGUGCUUAACACAUGCAAGUCGAACGGUAAGGCCCUUCGGGGUACACGAGUGGCGAGCGGGUGAGUAACACGUGGGUGAUCUGCCCUGCACUUCGGGGUAAGCCUGGGAAACUGGGUCUAAUACCGGAUAGGACCACUGCCUGCAUGGGUGGUGGUGGAAAGCUUUUGCGGUGUGGGAUGGGCCCGCGGCCUAUCAGCUUGUUGGUGGGGUGAUGGCCUACCAAGGCGACGACGGGUAGCCGGCCUGAGAAGGUGACCGGCCACACUGGGACUGAGAUACGGCCCAGACUCCUACGGGAGGCAGCAGUGGGGAAUAUUGCACAAUGGGCGCAAGCCUGGUGCAGCGACGCCGCGUGAGGGAUGACGGCCUUCGGGUUGUAAACCUCUUUCAGCACCGACGAAGCGCAAGUGACGGUAGGUGCAGAAGAAGGACCGGCCAACUACGUGCCAGCAGCCGCCGUAA